ACGAAGCGCAGUUCUGUAAAGCGAGAGUUUCGUUUGCUCGUGAUCGAAAGUAGCUCUAGUUUCUCGCUAGAGGCAGAUGCGGCAGUUGUUGUUUGAUUUUAUUAUAACUCGCAUUAGCCAGCAACGUUCCUUUUCCAUGUAUCCGGGAUUCCGAGAGGUCAUUCAUUUUUGGAUAAUCUUCCACCACCCAUAGAGUCCCGGAUUCGAGUGGGCAGCGAGCUAGUAAGUUGAACGGGACAAAUCACAGUACGUCUGUCUCUCUCCGCAAACAAGUCUUCUUCGAUCGAGCGCCCACACUGAUUGGAGCAAGCACAGUUGGGUGCCGCGGCUAUUCCGUUGAGCAGCUCUGUCAGCGAAGAAAGGAAAACAUUCCCGUGACAUUAGCCAGGAGGAUCCAGUCAUAGCCUGUUCACCCUUACACGGUCCGCGCCAGUUCUGGGCAGUGGCACUAGAUCAGCUACCACCCGUAUAGUAGAUCUACCCUACUCUUCACUUGAGCGUGGAUGACCGGUCGAUCGCUCCUCUUCGUGGGACGAUCAGGACGACUCACUCUCGUAGAUCUACUGACCGGGAUCAGUAGCAUAGCGUGAGGCAGUAGAUGACUGGAUCGCUAGCGGGUGAACACGCAUUGUCAGGUCACCGUGCUCACAGCACUCAUAACUGCAUCAGCCAAGCACCAUCUUGUGUACAUGUGACUUUCAAUGUCUUAUGCGGACACUGUUAUGAAUCUGAUCAGCUCACCGCUGCCAAAUAUGGGUAGCAGCGAGUAGUCACGGCAAACUGAGAAGAUUCUUUAGCAGUACUGUCAAAGUAGCUCAAUGGCUCAUUCCUGACGGUGAAACGAGCUCAAGGAACCUAUCUGUGGUGCUUCUCUGACUGGACCGACAGGGGCAGAGGUGGCCAGGAGAGCUGCACAGAAGAGCUAUCAAGGAGAGCCAUCCACAGGCUGUAGUGAUCAGGACGCCACCUUGAGACCCGACUGGGACAACAACCGGGCACGCUGACCAGAAAACAGCAACCUAGAGGGGUCCUGCUGCGUGGAUAUCUGAGGGCAGCACCACAGACAGCCCCUGGAACACACUCGUACGGGGUACACAAACACACCGGCUCACCGCCAGGGACAGCACCAGCCAGGUCACUGCCAGGGACAGCACCAGCCAGGUCACUGCCAGGCACAGCACCAGCCAGGUCACUGCCAGGGACAGCACCAGCCAGGUCACUGCCAGGGACAGCACCAGCCAGGUCACUGCCAGGGACAUCACCAGCCAGGCCACUGCAAGGGGCAGCACCAGCCAGGUCACUGCCGGGGACAGCACCAGCCAGGUCACUGCCAGGGACAGCACCAGCCAGGUCACUGCCAGGGACAGCACCAGCCAGGUCACUGCCAGGCACAGCACCAGCCAGGUCACUG